UAUAUUUUGAUUAUUAUAGGAAGACGUUUCCGUAAAGCUUGAAGCGCUUGACAUUCUCACAGACUUACUUUCACGUUUUGGAGCGUUUCUGGUACCUUUUCACAACCCUAUUCUAAAAGCAUUGUUUCCCCAACUCGAGUCAACUCGCCAGGCCGUCAGAAAGCGUUCGAUCGUUGCUCUGUCACACCUUCUUUUGUUGGCCGACGAUAGUAUAUAUGACAGCGUUAUUGAUCGCCUCCUAAAAGGUUUGAAAAAUAAUUCCAGCUCUGGGGCUGUUCGCACGUACAUUCAAUGUUUAGCAUCGAUUUGCCGGCAGUCUGGGCCACGUUUAUGUAGUCAUGUUAAUCCAGCCAUAGAACAUUUAAUAAUGUAUAGCCAUUGUGACGACGACGAAGUUCAUGAGUUUUGCCUCCAAGCGUUUGAAGCAUUUGUGUUCCGAUGUCAAGACGCAGUUACUCCCCACGUGUCUAUGGUAUGAAUACAUUUAUAUUUCUGUGGUAAAAACUAAAAACUUAAGAAGUGAUUCAGCUUUAGAAUGUCGGACAUUUCGAACAUUUCGAAGUUUACAAAGUUUAAAAAAGUCAUUUGUCUAAAUUAACGGCUGUGAUCUGUGUGUGUGUCUUUAUUUAAAUCAAACGGACUGUUCCAAAAAUAACACAAUGCUACAACAAAAAGUAAUUUUUAAGCAAAAAAUAAAACCGACUUAAAUUCUCAUAUAAAAAAAUAAGAGUACCGUUAAUUUCUGCAUGAUCCAAUGAUCGGCUCUAACGUAUGCGAAAUAAAAUGUGGACUAUUUUUUAUCAGGCUUUAAAAAAUUCUCUUACAAAAAAU